UACGUAGGGGGCAAGCGUUGUCCGGAAUCAUUGGGCGUAAAGCGCGUGUAGGCGGUUCUAUAAGUCUGCUGUGAAAGUCGGAGGCUCAACCUUCGAAAGCCGGUGGAUACUGUGGAACUAGAGUGCGGAAGAGGCAAGUGGAAUUCCUGGUGUAGCGGUGAAAUGCGCAGAUAUCAGGAGGAACACCAACGGCGAAGGUAGCUUGCUGGGACGUUACUGACGCUGAGACGCGAAAGCGUGGGGAGCAAACAGG
rnacentral:rRNA from 1 species